GUUUCACGACUUUUGGCCAAUUUUCACUGUUUUUAGGUGAGGUGUUUUUAAAAUACGCUAGGCAUUUUUUCAGCAUACUAUUCAUAAUCAGCUUAAGAUGAUACUUCGAGGAAGUCUAGGAAAAUUUCUUUCACAUGGAUGUUCUCAUCAGUGUCCUAUUGACUAGAAACAGAAACAGAAACUUUGCAAUUUGGCUUGAUAACCAUUGGCUAUUGGCUGCUGAUGGAAGAAGGCGAAAGUAAAAUGUGAAAGCAAAUGGACAUUUGGGAUUUUACAUGUCUCAAAGCCACGAUGCUCUGACGUGGGAAAAACAAUUCAAUUUCUACAUAAGGUGCAUUCCUAUAGAUUAAUCUCUUUUCCUUUUCUAUUUCCAGUAAGAAUUUCACGUGCUAUUUU